ensembl:lncRNA
AAAAAAAAAAAAAGUACAAUUUUUUUCUAUUUUGGCCUGUAACACUUCAAACACUUAAUGGCUCAUCUACAGUCUUAGUCAGUACCUAACAAGGCUAGCCAAUGACUUUCCUGCCUUUUUUGCUUAACCGGUCGAGGUUACAUUGGCUCAUACAAUCUUUUUCUCUUUUGGCCUGUAACACUUAAAUCAGUUAAAAAAAAAAAUAUUUAUGCAUGUGUAUUAAUAAACAAAAUCAGUAAAAAAAAAAAAAAAGUACUAUUUUUUUCUAUUUUGGCCUGUAACACUUCAAACACUUAAUGGCUCAUCUACAAUCUUAGUCAGCACCUAACAAGGCUAGCCAAUGACUUUCCUGCCUUUUUUGCUUAACCGGUCGAGGUUACCAAUAUGCUCAUACAAAUUUUUUCUCUUUUGGCCUGUAACACUUAAAUCAGUAAAAAAAAAAAAAAAAAAGUAUUUAUGCAUGUGUAUUAAUAAACAAAAUCAGUAAAAAAAAAAAAAAGUACUAUUUUUUUCUAUUUUGGCCUGUAACACUUCAAACACUUAAUGGCUCAUCUACAGUCUUAGUCAGCACCUAACAAGGCUAGCCAAUGACUUUCCUGCCUUUUUUGCUUAACCGGUCGAGGUUACCAAUAUGCUCAUACAAAUUUUUUCUCUUUUGGCCUGUAACACUUAAAUCAGUAAAAAAAAAAAAAAAAAAAAAGUAUUCAUGCAUGUGUAUUAAUAAACAAAAUCAGUAAAAAAAAAAAAAAAGUACUAUUUUUUUCUAUUUUGGCCUGUAACACUUCAAACACUUAAUGGCUCAUCUACAGUCUUAGUCAGCACCUAACAAGGCUAGCCAAUGACUUUCCUGCCUUUUUUGCUUAACCGGUCGAGGUUACAUUGGCUCAUACAAUCUUUUUCUCUUUUGGCCUGUAACACUUAAAUCAGUUAAAAAAAAAAGUAUUAAUGCAUGUAUAUUGAUAAACAAAAUCAGUUUAAAAAAAAAAAAAUACUAUUCUUUUCUAUUUUGGCCUGUAACACUUCAAACACUUAAUGGCUCAUCUACAGUCUUAGUCAGCACCUAACAAGGCUAGCCAAUGACUUUCCUGCCUUUUUUGCUUAACCGGUCGAGGUUACCAAUAUGCUCAUACAUUAUCAUGAUAAUGUACACAUAAUGCACAACCUUCAAGAUAUAUUUAUGGUUGACCAUUACAAUGUUUUUUUAAAUGUUUAAUUAUUGUUCAAUACAUUAAUCUACACCCAUGAGUCUGUGUCCC